rnacentral:lncRNA from 1 species
AAAUUUAUACUAGCGACUGAUCAGCGAUCGCAUGCGGUCGCUAUUAAAAAUUUAGCGACUAGAUUACAUAUUGGUCGCAGAUGACGGUCGCUGUGACUAAUAUCAGCGACCGAUAGUGCGGUCGCUGAUAAUGUUGGUCGCUGUUAGGCCUUUUUCUUGUAGUGAUCGUCUCCGUUCAUGCCAUCAAGGAAUAAAACAAACAAUUAGAAGUCAAUAUAUAAAUUCUCUUGAAACUAUAUUAAUCCAAAAAUCUCUCACACAUACAAAUCACUACAAGAAAAACACUUAAGGUCGACGGAUUUAUUUUCGACGGAAUACAUUCCGUCGAUAUUAAUGUAUUUCCGACGAAAUGCUCAGUCGAAAAUAAUUCAGUCAGAGAUAUAUUAAAUUCGACCGAAUUCCAUCUGAAUAAGGCUGUCCAAAGGCGCCAACAUUUCGCACCACCGAAAAAUACUAUCUCGACUGAAUAAGCGUCGACGGAUAAUCCGUCAGAAAUAAACUAAAGUUGAAGGACCUAUUUUCGGCAGAACUUUCGUCGAAAAUAAUCUAUUUUAAUUCAGACUUACAGAUAUGUCGAUCAUUUUUCUUCUGCUCUCUAUAUCUCUCCUACCUCACUCUCUGGUUUUUCCCUCCUACCUCACUCUCCGGCUUGUCCCUCCUCCCUACUUCGUUCCCUCGCCCUUCCAUAAAACGUCAACUCCCUCUCUCAUCUCUUCUGUCGAACGGCGUUGGUGGGAAUCAGCGGUGGUGGGUGGAUUUCCGGCGGUGGUGGGUAUCUCUUCUCUUUUGUCUCUAACAUUUCGAUCAAGUGAGGUAAUUUUCUAACUUCAACUCAGUUGUGUUAGAGUUAGAGUUUAUAUGUCAGCCACUGAUUUUGGGCUUGGUUGUGUUAGUGUUUAAUUUAUUUUGUUCUAUAUGAAACUGAUUUUGUGUUAGGGUUUAUAUGUCAGCCACUGAUUUUGUUAUUAAUCGUUGAGAUGUCGUUGAGGCUGAUUAUAAUAUUGUUCAAAUUGGGUUUGGAAUGCUGCAAUUUGGGUUUGCUAUGUUGCAAUUUCAGGUGUUAUAUAUUGCAAUUUGGGUUUGAUUUGCUGUAAUUUGAAUUUGAUAUUUAUACUUCAAUAUCAGGUUUGAUGAUAAUUAUACUGCAAUUUGGGUUUGAUAAUUAUACUACAAUAUUGGGUUUGAUAAUUAUACUGCAAUUUGGGUUUGAUAAAAUUUAGAUUAUGUUUAGGUAUAGCUGAGUAGUAUAUUUGUUAUUUCUGACGGAAUUCUCGACAGAAUUUCUGUCAAAAUUAAUCAAGUACAAAAUUUGGAGGCACUGUGUAUAUAUUUCUUAUGUUUCCCAAUAUUAAAAUAAUCUAAGUAGAAUUUACUUAGUUUCUUA